AUUGAACGCUGGCGGCAGGCUUAACACAUGCAAGUCGAGCGGAGCGAGGGUGCUUGCACCUUAGCUUAGCGGCGGACGGGUGAGUAAUGCUUAGGAAUCUGCCUAUUAGUGGGGGACGACAUUCCGAAAGGGAUGCUAAUACCGCAUACGCCCUACGGGGGAAAGCAGGGGAUCUUCGGACCUUGCGCUAAUAGAUGAGCCUAAGUCGGAUUAGCUAGUUGGUGGGGUAAAGGCCUACCAAGGCGACGAUCUGUAGCGGGUCUGGGAGGAUGAUCCGCCACACUGGGACUGAGACACGGCCCAGACUCCUACGGGAGGCAGCAGUGGGGAAUAUUGGACAAUGGGCGGAAGCCUGAUCCAGCCAUGCCGCGUGUGUGAAGAAGGCCUUUUGGUUGUAAAGCACUUUAAGCGAGGAGGAGGCUACUAGUAUUAAUACUACUGGAUAGUGGACGUUACUCGCAGAAUAAGCACCGGCUAACUCUGUGCCAGCCGCCGCCGUAA
rnacentral:rRNA from 1 species